UAAAAGUCUUGUUACACAAGAAAGAGGUAACACGGCAGGCCAGACUGCUCUCCUUUCAAGGGCAUCCGUACAAGGUUGGCCCUCUACUAGCAUCUGGGAUUAGGAUUUCAAGGAGAGUUCUCAUCAUUCCACAACUGGUAAGAGUGGCUCAUUGUGCCUAAACUGUGUGUACAAACAACAUGGUUUACCCUGAACACCUGCUUUCCUUUUGGAAGUUUGGGAUUUGGGUACGUGCAAGGCAGAGGCAGCCUAGGCCACCGCCUCCCAGUAAGACCCUGGUACUGAGCGUCCAACAGCUUCCCUGGCUGAUGCCCAGUAAUACCUGUUGUCAGCAGUCACUGCCGAGAGAGAGAAGCGUGCACUGUGUGACUCCACUGGGAGACGAGUCCUGGAAGCCUGGCUUCCUCCAGACUUCACCCCACGUGCCUUGCCUUUUUGUGAUUUUGCUUUGUAUCCCUUCACUAUAAGAAAUCUUAGGCAUGAAUGUGACUACAAACUAAAUCCUGUGAGUCAUCCUACUACAUCGCUGAAUCCCUAGCAUAACUGCAUAAUGUGUAUUAUAUAUACUACAUAAAAAAUUACACAAAUGUAAUUAGAUUUGUAAUUUUGUUAUAUUUCCAAAGAACAUCUGAUUCCAUGAAAAAUGGAAUGAUACUGUAUAUUUCUGAGACUAAUUUUACUUAACAUUAUUUCUAAAACUGAUCCAUGUUUUACAAUGUAUGGCUACGGCUCAUUCAUCUUCCACUUAUAAAAAGAAUUCCAUCGUAUGAUUACAUCACAAUUUAUGUAUUCACUCUGCAGUUGAUGACUAUUGCAUUGUUUCCAUGUUUUUGCUAUCCUGAGCAGCACAGCUAUGACCUGAUUCUCUCUCCCAGUGUGUUCCCAAGGCUCAAGUACACACCAUGGCUAUGAACACUAAGGAAGACUGAAUUCUAAAAAAAAAAAAG